CUCUGGUCUGGGCAAACAUGUCAAACCCGUCCCGAGGAUUGCACUGCUGAAGUGAACUGAGGGUGCCGCUGACACUUUCUGUCCCCAAGUCUGUGACAACAAAACAAGCAAUAAUCAAGUUCAGACCCAGACCUCCAGUGGAUCCAGAGGAAUCUGACAUGGUCUUUGGCCUUAGGAAGGUCACCAAGAAGGUGGUACAGAGGCAAACAACUGCUAUGUUUGGCUGAAGGAAUUAGGGGAGGCUCAAAACUGACACAAAAUCCCUCUGUUAUGACAACAAUCCUUUCAAGGGCCUGCUCCUACCUCUCAUAGCGGAGGAAGACAUUGUUGAGGUCGUCAUUAACAUGCAGCAGCUCCUCAGUGACCUCCUCAUUGGACACACGGGAGAUGAGCUCCACAAUGCGGUGCUGCAUGGCCCGACAGGUCCUGUUCAGCUCCUAGGGAACACAAGCACCUCUGCAUAGCCUGCUGGGAAUGUCUUUUGUCACGUUCUAGUGCCUUUGAAAAGAUUUGUACUGAUUCUUAAAAGUCACAGAAGGAGUACAUGCUUCUUCAUAAAACCAGACGUGUACAGAAUACAGAGUAAAAGCUCCCUCCUUGCUGCCUGCCUCUCAUACCCCAGAGGACACAGUACUUUUUCAAAUGUCCACACAUACACACUAUUAUGUAUAGACAAGCAUGUAUUUGUGCAAACCAUUUUUAAAGUAUAAAAAUACGAUUCUUUGCAGCUUGCUUUUUCUCUUUAACAAAGUAUUUCAGGAUCUUUUCCGUAUUACUCUGUACACCACUGCCUCGUUCCUUUGUGUGCGUCAUAAUGCAUCUUACCAUUCUGCUGUUGUAGGGCACAUAGCUCUUCUUUGGGGGAACCCAAAAAAUACACUAAUGAACUUUGUACAUGUGAUGCUUAUAUCCUUGAGCAAGUGCUUCCACAGCACAGGCUCUUCAUAGGUGGAAUUUCAAGGUGGCAGUAUGUGUGACCAUUUAGAAUACCGACUGGUAAUAGUUAAAGGCUCUCCAAAAAUAUGCUAUCACUUUACUUAUACUGCCGGCAAUGGCAUGAGUAUAUUUUAUGACUGCAUUAGGGACCUUGUGCUGGCAUGACUGUCUCCUUGCCAAGGAGUUAGAAGCUCCACAAACUCCCACAUAACUCUCUGCUGGCCAAAGACAAUACUCGCAUACCCCUAGUCACCAAAGGACCCUCUUGACCCCUGGAAGCAAUAUCCUUUGAGAACGGAGCUUUAU